rnacentral:rRNA from 1 species
GACGAACGCUGGCGGCGUGCUUAACUCAUACAAGUCGCACGGAGUGGCGAACGGGUGAGUAACACGUGGGUGACCUGCCCUGCACCUCGGGAUAAGCCUGGGAAACUGGGUCUAAUACCGGUUAGUGUGGGAUGGGCCCGCGGCCUACCAGCUUGUUGGUGGGGUAAUGGCCUACCAAGGCGGCGACGGGUAGCCGGCCUGAGAGGGUGGACGGCCACAUUGGGACUGAGACACGGGCCAGUGUCCUACGGGAGGCAGCAGUGGGGAAUAUUGCCCAAGGGGCGGAAGCCUGAUGCAGCGACGCCGCGUGGGGGAUGACGGGCUUCGGGUUGUAAACUACUUUCACCAUCGACGCGGUGUAUGGAGAGGAAGCACCGGCUAACUACGUGCCAGCCGCCGCGGUAAUAC